rnacentral:rRNA from 1 species
UACGAAGGGGGCUAGCGUUGUUCGGAAUCACUGGGCGUAAAGCGCACGUAGGCGGAUUGUCAAGUCAGGGGUGAAAUCCUGGAGCUCAACUCCAGAACUGCCUUUGAUACUGGCGAUCUCGAGUCCGGGAGAGGUGAGUGGAACUGCGAGUGUAGAGGUGAAAUUCGUAGAUAUUCGCAAGAACACCAGUGGCGAAGGCGGCUCGCUGGCCCGGUACUGACGCUGAGGUGCGAAAGCGUGGGGAGCAAACGGG